rnacentral:ribozyme from 13 species
UCCUUGUUCUCCUCUUUCUUCUCAAACGUCUUAUUCGACACUCUCAGAAGGAGAUAAAAGUUUUGGGUCAUUUGCUGAAGGGAGAGGGAAAGAUAAGAGUUGGGAGAGUAAUGAAAAGAGAGGAGAAAAAGAGAGGAAUUCUACUUUUGAAGACCCUUUUGUUUCUCCUACUCUACUUCCUGAUGAAAAGAGAGAAAAGA